GUAGGUGAACCUGCGGAAGGAUCAUUGCAAGAGAGAAUGGAAUAGGGAGGCGCGAGCCGCCUGAAGCCAUUUCACACAAGGUCGUCUGGGGGUGAUAUAUUAUCUCCAGAUAACACAAGCGCGUAUUCGUGUGGCAGUACAAGUAUAAUUAAAAAGCAAAACUUUUAACAAUGGAUCUCUUGGCUCUUGCAUCGAUGAAGAACGCAGCAUCUGACUGACUCGACAGCUG
rnacentral:misc_RNA from 1 species